UACGUAGGUGGCGAGCGUUGUCCGGAUUUACUGGGCGUAAAGGAUGCGUAGGUGGAAACUUAAGUGGGAUGUGAAAUCCCCGGGCUCAACCCGGGAACUGCAUUCCAAACUGGGUUACUUGAGUAUGGGAGAGGAUGGUAGAAUUCCAGGUGUAGCGGUGAAAUGCGUAGAUAUUAGGAAGAACACCAGUGGCGAAGGCGGCUUUCUGGACUGUAACUGACACUGAGGCAUGAAAGCGUGGGGAGCAAACAGG
rnacentral:rRNA from 1 species